rnacentral:rRNA from 1 species
GUGUCAGCCGCCGCGGUAAGACGAAGGAUGCAAGCGUUAUCCGGAUUCAUUGGGUUUAAAGGGUGCGUAGGCGGCCCUGUAAGUCAGUGGUGAAAUCCCUCCGCUUAACGGAGGAACUGCCAUUGAUACUGCAGGGCUUGAGUACAGAUGAUGUUGGCGGAAUAUGACAUGUAGCGGUGAAAUGCAUAGAUAUGUCAUAGAACACCGAUUGCGAAGGCAGCUGACAAAACUGUAACUGACGCUGAGGCACGAAAGUGUGGGGAUCAAACAGGAUUAGAUACCCUGGUAGUCCACACUGUAAACUAUGAUCACUCGCUGUGUGCGAUAUACAGUACGCGGCUAAGCGAAAGCGUUAAGUGAUCCACCUGGGGAGUACGCCGGCAACGGUGAAACUCAAAUGAAUUGACGGGG